rnacentral:rRNA from 1 species
AGGACGAACGCUGGCGGCGUGGAUUAGGCAUGCAAGUCGAGCGAUAUCUACCCUUCGGGGUAGUGAAAGCGGCGAACGGGUGAGUAACACGUGGACAACCUGCCCUCACAUUCCGGAUAAUAGAUCGAAAGGUCUUGUAAUACGGGCGAGGAUUCUCUUAAGGCAUCUUUUGAGAAGGGAAGGCGCAAGCCGUGCGAGGAGGGGUCCGCGGAUUAUCAGGUAGUUGGUGGGGUAAUGGCCUACCAAGCCGACGACGAUUAGCUGGUCUGAGAGGAUGGUCAGCCACACUGGGACUGANACACUGCCCAGACUCCGUACGGGA